GGCAGCUGAAGCCCAUAGGCUACAGACUGUGUUUGUAUGAGGUAGGGCAGGCAGCUUAAGGCCUACAGAGGUUAAGGGAGCCUAGAGAGGUAGGGCAACUAACUGCCCUUGGAAAAAUGUGUCUGCUGUCCAGGAUGGUCCACACCCAACUCCUCCCUCUGGGUUUGUAAUCUGGGGUCAGACACUUCCUGCUGGAAGAAGAGAUAAACAAGGACUACUUAACACAGAAUUGGGUGCAAGAGGAGUGAAGAUGAAUUUGUCCUACCAGACCUGACAGAAGAAAUCCCUAUUCACUAUCUCAAGUACAUUCCUGAUGACAUAUGCAUAUGCUUAAAAUUAUGAGAUGUAUUGACAGACAGUUCAAAAUUAUAUAACAGCUGUUUGUCAGUCAGAGGAAGAAUACACCUCAUUCCUGCCCCCCAAGGAUGCAGCCUAAAACUCAAUGAAAGAGCUGAGGUUUCUUGGGGAGGAAAGGUUUCUUGGGGAGGAAAGGUUUCUUGGGGAGGAAAGGGUUUAUUUCACCUUAAACUUUCAGGUAACAGUUCAUCACUAAGGGAAACCAAGGCAGGAAAUUGGAGGCAAGAACUGAAACAGAAGCCAUGGAGAAAUACUGAUUUCUGGCUUGCUCCCUAUGGCUUGGUCAGCUUGCUUUUGUAUAUACCCCAGAAGCACUUGCUCAGGGUCCACAGUGGGCUGUUCCCUGCCACAUCAAGCAUUAAUCAAAAAGUAAAAAUAAAUAAAUAAAUAAUAAAAAGUAAGUCUUGCCUACAGGCAAUCUAAUAGAGUUGUUUUCUCAAUUGAGGUUUUUAUUCCUAGAUAACUCUAGCGUGUGACAAGUUUAAAACAAGAACAAAAGAGAAUAAACGCUCAACCUGAAAUUCUACCGUUGUCACCAUUGAACUUGUUACAUAUGUGCUUGUCUUGUGGAAUUGCUUCCCAAAUGGUGGUAAUCUAAUUCCUAGGUGUGGUUACUUACAAGCUUAUGUGCUAUGCUUCCCCGGGCUGCUGUACCAACCGAAAUGUCUGUAUUUGAAUUUGGGUCUCUUCUUCCCCUAAGCAAUUCUAGCUCUGCAAGGGAGCUGUUAUGUCUAUCUUUGGGGCAGCAUAGAGUUAAUGGGUGAUUUUCAGGGACACAGCAGGGUUAGGCUUAGGGUGACUACACCCCAUUUGUAAUCUUUUCUAUUAGGAAAGAACACCAUACUUGUCUAUACUUAAAUAAAUAGAGUUGAUGGCUUUGGUGUGAAGGAUUAUUCUUUUUCCCGGUGAAGAGUUCUUUUUCUCUUCUGAUUGAUCUUACUUUUGUCUGUUUGUCAGAUAUUAGGACAGCAACAACUGCUUGUUUUCCAUCUCCAUUUGCUUAGAAUGCUUUUUCCAUUCUUCGACUCUCAGGAGCUGCUUGAAGAUAUUUAAAGCUUGUGCUAGCAAGAUGUACCAGUGAGAGCAGGCACUUGCCCCACAAGCAUUACAACCUAAAUUUGACCCUGAGAGGCCAUUGUGGGACUCUCACAGCCCACAGUGUUGUCCUCUGACCUUCACAUGUGUAAUGUGGACCACACAACCCUGAUCCCUGAAUAAUAAACAAAAACAAGGGACCCUCUAUAAUCAGGAAGAUAAACAACUCAAAAUACCUUGGGGAGGUCCCUGAAACUGACGAGAUUCACUAGGCACCUCCCUUCCGGAAUAAACAAUAAAAGUUGAGCAUCUCAGUGAAGUGAUGCUGAGCCACAAAGAAGACUCAGACAACCCAAGCUUCGAAGAUGACUUUGAGGUCAGACCAACUGCUUAGAUGACGGAAAAACCAGCACACCAUCCUGGAAGAGGUUUAUAGCAGAGUUACUUGGAAAGGACUCUCUGCAACAUGUUGAGCAGCAUUUAGGCUGUGCAGCAUGCUCCAGGUUCCCCACCUUUUGUAAGUAGUUACUCAUUCUGGGACUGGCUUUCUCUGAGUCAUUUCUGCUUCUGUAAGUAACCCCUCACCCAUAUUCCUCUGAAGUAACCUCAAUAAAACUCAGUGGUUCACCAAGUUGUACUUGGGAGGUAUUUGUACUUUGGUCUAUUGUGGGCUCCCUAUCUUUAGUGGGUAGAUACAUGUGUUGUGUCUGGCCAGGAAGUUUUCUCACACAGCAUUCCCUAUCAUGCACUGUCGAGGGCUGGAUGCUGGAAGAUAAUUUUGCGGCUGGCAUAUGAAAGUCCUGCUGUGACACAGCAUUUCAUGAGCCUGCAAGAAAAUUUGCAGCUGAUCUGACUUCAUUUCUAGUCAGAAAGAAAUUGAACAAAAUGAAUUCAAACAAACAAACAAUAAACCAAAGCCAAGAAAUGGCACACUAGUCUUCCUCUUGUCUUCAGUUGCAGCUCUUUUAGCCCUACCUUUCUGGGUGUUUAUUCUUUCCUUUGAUCUAUAGGCGCUAAUUUCAGAUCAGCCCAUGUUCAUAUUGUCACACAUUAUAUUUGUGUUUUGUAAAAGAAAAAGCCUGUAAGUAGCUCACCAUUCUGUGGGGACUAAAUAUGCUUUAUAUUAUAACCAGCAUAGCCACUGUGUGCUUCAUCCAUAAGUCACCACAUGAUUAAUUUUGCGCAUAGGCACUCUGCAACUGUCACAUAUUCUUUCUCUCAAAUCUCGCUGUGCUUUGUACCAACUAUGAAAAGUAAACCUUUGUUCUGAAAAAAGCCACCCAUUGAGUAGGAGUGUGAAUUCAAAUGUUAAGGGCACCAUGGCAUCCCACAAUUAUUCAGCUCAGUAAGUUCUGUGUGACAUCACACUUUUGUUAAGUGUGUUAGGGAAAGUGGGAAGGGACACUUGCUUCUAAGUAGUGAAUGAACCUUUAUUUCCUUCUAAGUUCCCCCUCUCUCCCAACCAAGUCAAAAAAUCAUUUCCCAGCAUAUGAUACAUAUAAGUGAGUCUGUUUAGCUUAUCUUUGGCUUUUCCAACAAGCUUCUUUCUUGGAGGUUUUCCUCUGCUUCAUUUGCUUUUUCUAGAAUGUGCCCUAAUGUGGGAUAUUACCAAUACAGAGCCAGGUAAAAAUAUAAGGGAAUUUAAUAGGGAAAAGCUUUACUUACAGAGCGACCUAGCCAGCUAGCGGGGCAGAGUAAGUACAGCAAGCCGAAGAUGAAAGCGAAAGCCUGUCUACCAUGUGAGCAUCCCUCACUCUCAAACCUUCCCUACAUCGCCCACAGGCGUUGUCAGGCACACCUGUAGUCAGCCCCUAAACAAGCGUGGCUACAGCAUCCCCUACAGUGCCCAUGUCCAUAACGUUGUGUCUAUCUUGUCAAAAUGUAUGACCUUCUCACUUGAGCCAUGCAUCAUUCUGUCUCGGUCCCCAAAUUUUCACCUUUCUGUAUGAGUGCUAAGUUCAUCUGAAAGUAUAAAUUAUACAAGGGUGAGAUUUGAGGUAUAUUUAGUCAUGACACAGAACUGACUCUGUGGUUCUGAAUGUGUAAAACCAGAGAAGUUAUAUGCUCCCAGAAUACAGUGGAAGGACAAGCAUAAGAUAGAUAAAAAGAAGAGAGAAGAAUUGGUCACAAGCAAGUCUUAAUCAUUACUUGAAAUCCUGUGAUCAUAGAAUAAUUCUCUUUGAUUAGAUUCCUGCUUUAGUGACUGACUGAAGCAGCAUCCACUGACUGAGACAGGAGUUGCUUGCUUCCCACUUGAUAGGGCAAGGCCUAUGGCAGAUCAGGAGCUAGUCAUAUGUGAUCAUUCCCUGACUGGAUCACCUGCCUGGCUGAGCAGAACAACACACAAACAUGUUGUUACCUUGCCUGCUUGUCCUGCGAUGUGAUAAAAAAUGACCAGUCCUAAUAACAACAACCCUGGUCUCUAUCCAGUUCCUUCCAUAAACAGCAUGGCAGUAUUCCCAGAAGCUCCUCCCCUCGCCAGAAGUGAGUUCCCUUAAUCUGUCACUCUGGUUUCCUCCUUGUCUGUUCCUAUUUUCUUCUUGAGAUACUGAGUUCAAAAGCCAUUGGCUUAGGGUAAUGCCCCAGCUCCCAGAGUUAAACUCAUUAGGAGCUGAGGAAGGCUUUUCUGAAAGAACCUUCACUUACCACAAGGUAGGAACUGUACCCCUGUACUUCUCCUGGGUAGCCCCAACCUUGUGGAUCUGUAGGUUUGGUGAGCCUCAAAGAGCUGUCUAGAGACUGCUUAGUCUGUUGAAGCCAACCUGGAAGCCCCGGUGAUUUUUUAAUCAAUUGGGGUUGAUUUCCCUUUGCCUUUUUUCUUUUUUGAAGUUACACUUUCAGCCAAAGGGUUCCAUUGUACCAUACUGUGAAGUCAUUAGACAGUUCUCCUUCAUUUCACGAUUUCUGCCCUCUUAGGUUAAAUGUGGUAGUGUAAACUCAUGACCAUUCCUGGUCUCCUUGGCUAUUAAAAUCCAUUGAUCUUGUUCUUGAUGCUUUUGUGAAAUGUUUAGCAACACUCUAAAUGUUCUUUUCUGAAUAAUCAUCCUCAUGGUUUUCAGUAUUAGAUAAGCUGCGAAGUCAUCAAAUCUCCAUGUUCUGGACCCUUGGAGUUAAGGAGUCCUUUAAUCUCCCUUUUAUUGGUCACAUUUUUUUAUAAGUAGUCAGAAGGAGCUAUCUAUCUCAGCUCAAUAUCCCAUUUCAUUGCUAAAACUUGCUGAGUUCUUUGCCUUUCCUCCCAGGUUGAGUAAUGUGCCAUUUUAUCCUAUGGUUUAACCAGAAGCAGCCUUAAUAUCCAUUUCUAGCAUCUACCUUAGGACUCUCCUGCCUCCUAUUAUUAAAGUCUGGAGCUUAUAUAAAUGCAGCAUUUCGCUCCUGGUACCAAAAUCCACAUUAGUCAGGGAUCUUCUGAGAAACUGAACAAACAGAAUUCCUAACUAUCUACAUCUUCAACUUGUUUUUAGCUACAACAAGGUUUAUUAUAAAGAAUGGGCUUAUGUGAUCUCGGAGGCUGAGAGUUUCCAAUACCUGCAGUCUAAGCCAAGGCAUGCCAGGAUGUGUUUUCAGUUAAAGUCUGAAGCAAUGACCAAGAGAGCUCAUAUAGAUCCUAGUUGAAGAUACCUUUUCUUGUGUUUCUUUUGAGUCCAAGGUUGAACUCAGUCUGGAAGAAGUUCCUUUGAACUCUGCCUUUGUUCUGUUGGUAUCUUAAAUUGAUUGAUUCUUAAGUGACACAGUCUAUAGUAUUCAUCCUCAGCCAUAAAAUGUUAAUUCUACUUAGAAAUGGUGACCAUCACACCCAGAGUAACUGUGCCCAUAAAACCAGUCAUUACAGUACUCUUGUCAAAAGUAUUUGACUCUUUUGUGAGGCUUGCUUCUGGGCUCCAUUCUAAGACACUGAGUUAUAUGUCUGUCAUCUUCCAUUUUUUUUUCAGUCUAAAUUUUAUCAAUUACCUGUGUAUUAUUUCUGCAAAAACAGAAGCAACAACAACAAAGGUGAGGAGGGGAAAAUUUACUUGGGAAC
rnacentral:lncRNA from 1 species